GAUGAACGCUGGCGGCGUGCCUAAUACAUGCAAGUCGAGCGAAUGAUGAGGAGCUUGCUCCUCUGAUUUAGCGGCGGACGGGUGAGUAACACGUGGGUAACCUGCCUGUAAGACGGGGAUAACUCCGGGAAACCGGAGCUAAUACCGGAUAAUAAAAGAAGGGGCAUUCCUUCUUUUUGAAAGUCGGUUUCGGCUGACGCUUACAGAUGGGCCCGCGGCGCAUUAGCUAGUUGGUGAGGUAACGGCUCACCAAGGCGACGAUGCGUAGCCGACCUGAGAGGGUGAUCGGCCACACUGGGACUGAGACACGGCCCAGACUCCUACGGGAGGCAGCAGUAGGGAAUCUUCGGCAAUGGGCGAAAGCCUGACCGAGCAACGCCGCGUGAGCGAGGAAGGCCUUCGGGUCGUAAAGCUCUGUUGUCAGGGAAGAACACGUACGGAAGUAACUGUCCGUACCUUGACGGUACCUGACCAGAAAGCCACGGCUAACUACGUG
rnacentral:rRNA from 1 species